rnacentral:rRNA from 1 species
UACGUAGGGGGCAAGCGUUGUCCGGAAUCAUUGGGCGUAAAGAGCGCGUAGGCGGUCCGGUAAGUCGGUUGUGAAAACUGGGGGCUCAACCCUCAGAGGCCGACCGAUACUGCCGGGCUAGAGUCCGGAAGAGGAGUGUGGAAUUCCUGGUGUAGCGGUGAAAUGCGCAGAUAUCAGGAGGAACACCAAUGGCGAAGGCAGCACUCUGGGACGUGACUGACGCUGAGACGCGAAAGCGUGGGGAGCAAACAGG